rnacentral:antisense_RNA from 1 species
AGGCUUCACUGGGCAGGGUUUGGACUGGUCCAUCAGGGAAGGGCAUGGUCUUCCAUCACCUUGAAAGGGCUGGGUCACUGUUCGUCUUCGGAUCAUUUUUCCUUUAAGAGAUACAAAGUGAUGCAACUUUAAUAUAUGUUAUGGUUUUGCAAGCAUGUAUCUCAUUGGGAGAAGGCAUCACAGUGAUAUCUCCCGAGGCGAUCCAGGAACAAAUCUAUUGAGGCUCCCACUUAUCUUGGUUGGUAUUUGACCCAGUGGACCUCAGAUGCACGGAGAGUCAACAUUUGUCAUGUUUUUGGGCUCUACCUGGACCUGCCAACCCAGUUCCUGUGUGCCCCCCAGAAGAAUUCAGCCUGCAGGAGGACAGCUUUGACCCCCUGUGAUUUCAUCUCUGCCCCAACCAAUCAGCAGCAAGAACCCAUUACCUGGCAGCCCCACCCCUUCCCCCAAACUGCCUUUGAAAAACCCCUACCUAGGAGCCUUAGGCAAGAUUGAUCUGAGUACUAACUCCAUCUUCCAUGUAUCAUGGCUGGCCUUAUGUCUAUUAAACUCUUUCUUUACUGC